rnacentral:rRNA from 1 species
AUUGAACGCUGGCGGCAGGCCUAACACAUGCAAGUCGAACGGUAACAGGAAACAGCUUGCUGUUUCGCUGACGAGUGGCGGACGGGUGAGUAAUGUCUGGGAAACUGCCUGAUGGAGGGGGAUAACUACUGGAAACGGUAGCUAAUACCGCAUAACGUCGCAAGACCAAAGCGGGGGACCUUCGGGCCUCUUGCCAUCGGAUGUGCCCAGAUGGGAUUGGCUUGUUGGUGGGGUAACGGCUCACCAAGGCGACGAUCCCUAGCUGGUCUGAGAGGAUGACCAGCCACACUGGAACUGAGACACGGUCCAGACUCCUACGGGAGGCAGCAGUGGGGAAUAUUGCACAAUGGGCGCAAGCCUGAUGCAGCCAUGCCGCGUGUAUGAAGAAGGCCUUCGGGUUGUAAAGUACUUUCAGCGGGGAGGAAGGGAGUAAGGUUAAUACCUUUACUCAUUGACGUUACCCGCAGAAGAAGCACCGGCUAACUCCGUGCCAGCAGCCGCGGUAA